AUCGCAGUGCCCUUGAUACUGAAGAGCUUGAAUACAUUAGAGGUAGGCGGAAUGUGACAAGUAGCGGUGAAAUGCAUAGAUAUGUCACAGAACACCGAUUGCGAAGGCAGCUUACUAUGAUGAGAUUGACGCUGAGGCACGAAAGCGUGGGGAUCAAACAGGAUUAGAUACCCUGGUAGUCCACGCCCUAAACGAUGAAUACUCGCUGUUAGCGAUACACAGUUAGCGGCUAAGCGAAAGCGUUAAGUAUUCCACCUGGGGAGUACGGUCGCAAGAUUGAAACUCAAAGGAAUUGACGGGGGCCCGCACAAGCGGAGGAGCAUGUAGUUUAAUUCGAUGAUACGCGAGGAACCUUACCCGGGCUUGAAAGUUAGUGAAUCAUUUAGAGAUAGAUGAGUGAGCAAUCACACGAAACUAGGUGCUGCAUGGCUGUCGUCAGCUCGUGCCGUGAGGUGUUGGGUUAAGUCCCGCAACGAGCGCAACCCCUAUGUUUAGUUGCCAGCACGUUAAGGUGGGGACUCUAAAUAGACUGCCUGUGCAAACAGAGAGGAAGGAGGGGACGACGUCAAGUCAUCAUGGCCCUUACGUCCGGGGCUACACACGUGCUACAAUGGAUGGUACAGAGGGCAGCAAGCUGGCAACAGCAAGCGAAUCUCCAAAAGCCAUUCACAGUUCGGAUAGAGGUCUGCAACUCGACCUCUUGAAGUUGGAUUCGCUAGUAAUCGCAUAUCAGCAAUGAUGCGGUGAAUACGUUCCCGGGCCUUGUACACACCCGCCCGUGCAAGCCAUGGAAGUUGGUGGUACCUAAAG
rnacentral:rRNA from 1 species